rnacentral:rRNA from 1 species
AUCCUGCUUUCAUUUCCUUUUGGUUGUCUCGUCGUCGCUGAGUUCUGAAACCCAAAGCCCCCCUCCCCUCCCUUCCCCCGGGCUUAACCACCUCGAGAAAGAGUAAAGCUAGAGAGAAAGCUACAUCCCACCGAAUCCAACAACCGACAAGGAGGAGGAGGGAGCGAGCGAGCGAGAGAGCUGACGAUGCAGCAGGCGAUGUCCUUGCCCCCGGGAGCGGUCGGCGCGGUGUCCUCGCCGGCCGGCAUCACCACCGAGCAGAUCCAAAAGUAUUUGGAUGAAAAUAAGCAACUUAUUUUGGCCAUCCUUGAAAAUCAGAACCUAGGAAAGUUGGCUGAAUGUGCUCAGUAUCAAGCUCAACUCCAAAAGAAUCUCUUGUAUCUAGCUGCUAUCGCGGAUGCCCAACCACCACAGAACCCUACAAGUCACCCUCAGCCUGGUAGUAUGCAAGGUGCAGGGCAUUACAUGUCACAAGUACCAAUGUUCCCUCCAAGAACGCCUUUAACCCCACAGCAGAUGCAAGAGCAGCAGCACCAGCAGCUUCAGCAGCAGCAAGCCCAGGCCCUUUCUUUCCCCGCCCAGGUGGUCAUGAGACCAGGCACCGUCAACGGCAUGCAGCAGCCUAUGCAAGCAGCCGGCGACCUCCAGCCAGCAGCAGCACCUGGAGGGAGCAAGCAGGACGCCGCAGUGGCUGGGGCCAGCUCGGAACCAUCUGGCACCAAGAGCCACAAGAACGCGGGAGCAGAGGAGGUGGGCGCUGAUGUAGCAGAACAAUCCUAAGCUGUUAGUGUUAGGCAAAAAUAACGCCAUGUAUGUAUACUAUAAGAAAGAAAGAAAGCCCGUCUGCUCGUAGAAGGCUCGUUUUAUCAUGAAGGCUCGUUUAGAACAAGCUUUUAGAUUGAUGAUGAUCAUGAUGGUGUGUUCUGUCCGGGAUUGUUAUCUCACUCUAAGUUGUUGUAGGCUUGUAGCAAUUGUGGAAUAACUCGCCAGCCCGUUGUCCAAGUCAGAUGGUUUACCUUUUGUUUACUCCGCU